AAGAUCAAUUUUACAAAGAAAAACUUCCUAAUUCCAUUCCAUUCCAUUCCAUGAAACGAACGCUACCUAAAUCUCUGUCACUUAUGACUUUGAAGAUUUCAAGCUGGCCGAUUUCAUAUAUUGAUUUCAUAUGGAUCGUGACCAUUUCUUUUGGAUCAUCGGACGACGACUCGGGCGAUUCCUGAGGCUGAAGACAACAACGGCAAGAGGCACUCCAGCGGCGCGAUUAGGGUUUCGCUGUGAACCCUAACAACAGUGGCAGCGGCGCAUUUUAUUCUUGAAGAUUUGAUUUUUUCCAAUGUAUCAAACCGUUUGUGUUCUUCUAAUCCGUCUCUUGCUCUAAUUGUUUAUUUGUUUUUUUAUUUUCUUCAGGUGCAAUCCAAGUUAAGUUUGUGAAAUUUUAGUCAUAAAAUUAAACAUCAAUUUUGUUAUUAGAGAAGGCUUGCAUUUGGCUUUAUUUCAUGUAUGGAAACAAGCUUUGUGAUGUCAAAGUUCCUUAUCUGAUUCACCAUACAUAUACUAUUUGAAGUGAAAAGCUCCACCUUCAAGAUCGUUCAUAGCAUUCAAAACCUGGUAAGGACCGACAUUGGGUUCAGAUGACUGUGGUAUUGGGCUUUCUCGGCUUCAAUGACGCAGAUACUAGAGAGGCUGCCAGCAUUUGGUGAAUUUAGAUAAUUUAUUUUGUGGACAAAGCCAUCCCGGAAGAACCGAUAGAGUAUAUUUGAAGGUUUUGACUGCGUUGGCAGCUGCUGUGAUCACAUUUGGUUGUGAUAUGUCUGCUUUGGCGGAUCUGAAUAAGUUUGAGGCGAAUUUAUUGGUGAAUUCGGUAUUGGAUUGGCUGCUUAGUUCGGUUCUGCUGCUCUCAGCAGAUGCAGAAGGAACAAAGAACCUAAGUAAUGAUGCGAUUGGGGGUCUUGCCGCUGCUGUACAAAAAUAUAACAUGAGGUCAAAGUAGAGAGGCUGCAAAGAGUUGGUGAUGUUUCCAGCAGGUGACAUAAUGUGAAUCAGCGAUUGAAAUAGAAGUGAACACAUGACUAUGAUCAACCAAUCGAAUGGAUCACGAUCAAAGAAGGAAUUUCAAGACAGUGUUAUGAAAGCUAAGGAUCCGAACGAAGAGAUGAUCAAGAUACGAAAAGAAAUAGUCGAUUUCAAUGUAAUGCCUCAUUGAAUAUAUUUUGUUACAGUCUUGAGAAUUUGCCAUAUCAUAUUGGAAAUUUUUAAUCAUUAUGCAUUUAUUUUGAUAUCAUUCAAUGGUCA